GGUCGAUUAGCUCAGUUGGUUAGAGCGUGGUGCUGAUAACACCAAGGUUGUGGGUUCAAUUCCCACGCUGUGGCAGGGCCA